ACGUAGGGGACAAGCGUUGUCCGGAUUUACUGGGCGUAAAGGGCACGCAGGCGGUUUUUUAAGUCAGAUGUGAAAGGUACCGGCUCAACCGGUGACAUGCAUUUGAAACUGAAAGACUUGAGUAUUGGAGAGGGAAGUGGAAUUCGUAGUGUAGGGGUGAAAUGCAUAGAUAUGAGGAGGAGCACCGAUAGCGAAGGCGGCUUGCUGUGCAAAUACUGACUCUGAGGUGCGAAAGCGUCGGGAACAAACAG
rnacentral:rRNA from 1 species